UGGCCUACGGGAGGCAGCAGUGGGGAAUAUUGGACAAUGGGGGGAACCCUGAUCCAGCCAUGCCGCGUGUGUGAAGAAGGCCCUCGGGUUGUAAAGCACUUUCAGUGAGGAAGAACGCCUGGUGGUUAAUACCCAUCAGGAAAGACAUCACUCACAGAAGAAGCACCGGCUAACUCCGUGCCAGCAGCCGCGGUA
rnacentral:rRNA from 1 species